UCGUGACCUGGCUGAAGUCGGACGCUUAACCGACUGCGCCACCCAGGCACCCCGGGAGGUUCCUACUUUAAUCAUCAUCAGCUGAACCUAAGCAAAGAUGAGCAUCUCACUUAUCCUACACGCCCAUCCUUCCCCCUACCCUCCAUUAUUGGGACUCUCAAGACUCCAAGUUGUCUAGCAGAAAGGUGGUCUCAAGAGGACUUAGAUGAUGGAGCGAAAGAAUCUCCCAGAAGGCUGCCCAAAAGGACAACGGGGAAAGUAGAAGACAUGAAAGCCAGUUCUAGACGGUCUAGGACAGAACAGAGAAAACAGUUACUUCUCUACACAAAAGACAGCCACGGGUCUUCAGAUGGCUUAUGUAGACGCAUAGGGAGGAGAUCUUCCAGCUUUUAGAAAGAAAUGCUCAGAUCAGCUUAUCAUUCCUCCAACAACCCUGGAUGGCAGCAAGAUGAGAGCAGUGUCUGCAAAAGUUCUACAGAAAUUAUUUAAAUGGAGUCCUACACUUGAACUAGCAUGGAGUGGGAAGAGAAAAUAAAGCCAGUUGAUGACUCAGGGCAUCACGCUUGAACUGUGUACAUCAGGAAAAAAAAAAAAAAAAGGAAGAUGUGGGAUAUAA